CGAGUGGCCCGGGCGACCGCGUCCGAUCCUCACGGGUCGGCCGAGGAAAGUCCGGACUCCACGAGCCAGGGUGGUUGCUAACGACAACCGGUCGCGAGGCCAGGGAAAGUGCCACAGAGAACAGACCGCCUCCCACGUCCUCGGGCGUGGGCGGCAAGGGUGAAACGGUGCGGUAAGAGCGCACCGCGGGUCCUGGUGACAGGCCCGGCACGGUAAACCCCACCCGGAGAAAGACCGCAUAGGGGGGCGUUUGGCGCGGCUCGCGUCGCCCCCGGGUAGGUCGUUCGAGGCCGCGCGCGAGUGCGGCCCUAGAGAAAUGGUCGCCCCCGCCGCUCCGGUUCGCCGGGGCGCGCGGGAACAGGAUCCGGCUUACGAGGGCCGCUCGCAUC
rnacentral:RNase_P_RNA from 1 species